GUAUGAUGAAGACUGAUCUUUGAGCUGUCUGUGUCAUUACGAAUUGUGGUACGUUAGAAAAAUACGCCAGACAGCUAAAAGUUGGUUCGGUUUGAAGGAUGCUAAAGGAAAUAAUCUACGAUUAGUCCGCUGUAUGAAGUCGGCCUUAUAGCGUCGGAGUGCUUGCCCCACCUUAAAGCCUAUUGACAAGUAUUUAAUUGUCGAGAUGGAAUUGAAUAAUGUCAAGCUGGGAACUUACUUUUCUUCAUGCGAAAGUUCAGGAGGUGCAGCUGGGGUUUACUUUUACUGAGAAACUGCUGCGGAAUGCCUUUAUGGAACUUUAAGUGGAGGAGUCGUGCCGAACUGGAUCAGGGUAGAAUACACGUCAAAUUGAAGAUGCGUAAGGGCUUUUUUGGAUCACAAUCGAUAAAUCUCGACUAACUACAUAUAAAUGCAAUAUACGUCCCUAUAUUUGGAGUGAAUAUCUUGGUGUGAAAAUGGUUAGAAUCUCAUUAACGGUUUCGCCUCGCCCCUGUGACAGCAAAAUAAAAGUCGACGUGCUUCUGUAAGCAUAAGUAGGUUAAAAAGAUGGCCAGAGCGACCAGUCGAACACAAUCGAUCCUGACAGCAGUCGAAAGUUUUCGAUGAGCCGUAUCGAUAUCCAAUACAUGUACAUAUACCGAAAUCUAAGUUUUCGGAUCGAAACUGUCGCUUGAAAGACGAAAACUGGAUAUGACGUUUUAUGUGAAAGAAAUUUUUCGGACACCAAUUAAUCUAUCUCGACAGACCUUUGCGUAAAAUUGAUAUUUUAAAAAAACAGUUGAAUAAAUCCUAUCGGUCGUUUC